UAAGGUUAUCUCCAAUAGUGUGAGCCUACCCAGUCUUGGCAAUUCUGAGGCUUAUUAGAUUUAUCCUUUAAAUUGGCAUGCUUAGAUUCAAGAUGUCAUUUAAGAAAUGAUGGUUUCAUCCUUUGAUUGGAUAAUAGUUCAUCACAAACAACAAAUUGAUGUUGAGUGUCCAUUUCAUCUCCAUACCUGGAUUUGAUGGCGUCGCAAACAUAACAGAACUUCUUAAGAAAAUGGUUUGUCAGCCCUUGUGUCCUCGUUCGAAGAACAAACUUGAAUAUCUUCAGUGUGUUGCAAUCUAGUCAAACAUUUUCUGUUAAAAUUAUGUAAUUGUAGUAUUGCUGUACAUACAAAAAAAAAAAAAAAAAAAAAAAAAAAAAAAAA
rnacentral:misc_RNA from 1 species